UNUGACUUGAGUGCAGAAGGGGAGAGUGGAAUUCCAUGUGUAGCGGUGAAAUGCGUAGAUAUAUGGAGGAAUACCAGUGGCGAAAGCGGCUCUCUGGUCUGUCACUGACGCUGAGGCUCGAAAGCGUGGGUAGCGAACAGGAUUAGAUACCCUGGUAGUNCACGCCGUAAACGAUGAGUGCUAGGUGUUAGGCCCUUUCCGGGGCUUAGUGCCGGAGCUAGCGCAAUAAGCACUCCGCCUGGGGAGUACGACCGCAAGGUUGAAACUCAAAGGAAUUGACGGGGGCCCGCACAAGCGGUGGAGCAUGUGGUUUAAUUCGAAGCAACGCGAAGAACCUUACCAGGUCUUGACAUCCCGAUGCUAUUCUUAGAGAUAGGAAGUUACUUCGGUACAUCGGAGACAGGUGGUGCAUGGUUGUCGUCAGCUCGUGUCGUGAGAUGUUGGGUUAAGUCCCGCAACGAGCGCAACCCUUAUUGUUAGUUGCCAUCAUUAAGUUGGGCACUCUAGCGAGGCUGCCGGUAAUAAACCGGAGGAAGGUGGGGAUGACGUCAAAUCAUCAUGCCCCUUAUGACCUGGGCUACACACGUGCUACAAUGGUCGGUACAACGAGUUGCGAGCCGGUGACGGCAAGCUAAUCUCUGAAAGCCGAUCUCAGUUCGGAUUGGAGGCUGCAACUCGCCUCCAUGAAGUCGGAAUCGCUAGUAAUCGCGGAUCAGCACGCCGCGGUGAAUACGUUCCCGGGCCUUGUACACACCGCCC
rnacentral:rRNA from 1 species